UCACGUGUCUUGUUCCUUGUUUAUAUAUGUGUGAAUGCUCUUCAAUAAAUUUCAGUUGAUAGUCUGCGCUGUGUAUGUUGCCACUUUACUUUGUCCCUGUUGUUUUGCGCUACGUUUAAUAAUGGUAUAUUACCAACUCGCCCAGCAG
rnacentral:lncRNA from 1 species